UUCCGAUAGAUUUUACUAGGGAAAGUUCAAAGUCAUUGACUACUUAUCCCGAUGCAGUCUUCUUCAAUUUUUUCUUUGAAAAAACAUAUCAGAUGUUAUCGUUUGGAAUAAAGGCCAACAUAUUUCAUUCAUGUGGGGGAUUGUUGGAAAAAAUGGUUAAUGGGUCAACUUUGAGCCCAAAUUUCAGUGGGACCCACCUUUUAAUUAAUUCGGGACCUAGCAUAUUCACGUUCUACUCCGCGAGA
rnacentral:lncRNA from 1 species